AACGCACGAGACCUGCGGACCUGCGGAAGGAUCAUUACAGGAAUCGCAAGACUCCCUGAAACCCCUGUGAACCUUACCGAACGUUGCCUCGGCGGGCGUCUGGCCUCGGCCGGACGUCGAGCCCGCCGGCGGCCCCCUACUCUCUCUCUGUAUUUGCUUCUCAGAGUCUCAAGAAAACAAGUCAAAACUUUUAACAAUGGAUCUCU
rnacentral:misc_RNA from 1 species